rnacentral:rRNA from 1 species
CCUACGGGUGGCAGCAGUAGGGAAUCUUCCACAAUGGGCGAAAGCCUGAUGGAGCAACGCCGCGUGGAUGAAGAAGGUCUUCGGAUCUUAAAACUCUGUUGUUCGAGAGGCAAGAGCGUGAGAGUAACUGUUCCCGUUUCGACGGUAUCUAACCAGAAAGCCACGGCUAACUACGUGCCAGCAGCCGCGGUAAUACGUAGGUGGCAAGCGUUAACCGGAUUUAUUGGGCGUAAAGGGAGCGUGGGCGGUCUUUUAAGUCUGAUGUGAAAGCCUUCGGGUCAACCGGAGUAGUGCAUUGGAAACUGGGAGACUUGAGUGCAGAAGAGGAGAGUGGAACUCCAUGUGUAGCGGUGAAAUGCGUAGAGAUAUGGAAGAACACCAGUGGCGAAGGCGGCUCUCUGGUCUGUAACUGACGCUGAGGUUCGAAAGCGUGGGUAGCAAACAGGAUUAGAUACCCUGGUAGUC